AGAGUUGUGGCUCAGUAGUAAAGCACUUGCCUUCCAUGCAUGGGGCACUGAGUUCGAUCCUUAGCACCACAU
rnacentral:tRNA from 1 species